rnacentral:rRNA from 1 species
UCUUUAAGCGACUGCGGAAGACAUUA